AUUGAACGCUGGCGGAAUGCUUUACACAUGCAAGUCGAACGGUAGAGGGGGCAACCCCUUGCGAGUGGCGAACGGGUGAGUAAUAUAUCGGAACGUGCCCAGUCGUGGGGGAUAACGUAGCGAAAGUUACGCUAAUACCGCAUACGAUCUAAGGAUGAAAGCGGGGGAUCGCAAGACCUCGCGCGACUGGAUCGGCCGAUAUCAGAUUAGGUAGUUGGUAGGGUAAAGGCCUACCAAGCCAACGAUCUGUAGCUGGUCUGAGAGGACGACCAGCCACACUGGAACUGAGACACGGUCCAGACUCCUACGGGAGGCAGCAGUGGGGAAUCUUGGACAAUGGGCGAAAGCCUGAUCCAGCAAUGCCGCGUGCAGGAUGAAGGCCCUCGGGUUGUAAACUGCUUUUGUACAGAAAGAAAAGGUUUCUAUUAAUCCUAGGAGCUCAUGACGGUACUGUAAGAAUAAGCACCGGCUAACUACGUG
rnacentral:rRNA from 1 species